GUCCCCCAUAGCUCAGUGGUAGAGCGUCCAACCGGCACCUGGAAGGUCAUGGGUUCGAUUCCCGUUGGGGAUA
rnacentral:tRNA from 1 species